GGUCCUUUGGCGCAAUGGUAGCGCGUCACUUUCCGGUGGUGAAGGUUCACGGUUCGAGUCCGUGGAGGAUCG